rnacentral:rRNA from 1 species
UACGUAGGGUGCAAGCGUUGUCCGGAAUUAUUGGGCGUAAAGAGCUCGUAGGCGGUCUGUCGCGUCGGCUGUGAAAACCCGGGGGCUCAACCCCGGGCCGCAGUCGAUACGGGCAGACUAGAGUGCGGUAGGGGAGACUGGAAUUCCUGGUGUAGCGGUGAAAUGCGCAGAUAUCAGGAGGAACACCGGUGGCGAAGGCGGUUCUCUGGGGAAUGUUCUGACGCUGAGGAGCGAAAGUGUGGGGAGCGAACAGG